CUUGCCAUCCUCCAUGCAGAACGCGUCCCUGGGGCCUUCACCCUGUCGUGAACAAAGCACGACUAUUUUGUAAAGGGAAGAUCAAAGAGCCAGAAGUCGCGGAUGAGUGUGUGGCAGAGAUGGGGUUUCACCAUAUUGGCCAGGCUGGUCUUGAACUCAAGAUGAUUCGCCCAACACAGCCUCUCAAAGUGCUGGGAUUACAGUCUCCGGUAUGUCAUUAUCAGCAGUGUGAAAAUGGACUCACUCCCACCCUGUCUGGAUCUGGACAAGAGCCCACCACCCCGUUGGCAGUAGUCAGGCAGCUCUGCUUCUAAGAACCUGCAGCUUUUGGAAGAAAGGCACCCUGUGGUUUCAGAAGCCCAAGAGUCCCUGCAGCUCAGCACCCCCAGCCUGGUGCUUGGCAGAUGACUGCCUCCUCACUUAGCAGAGGGAGCAGAAAACUGUGUAUUCUUCAGAACAUCAUGAUAACCUGGCACUCAUGGGUCUAUGGAGAGAAUUCAGGGGGUCUGGGAGCUUGGAUGGAAUAAAUUUGCAUCUUUAUUUUCAGGAAAGUUUUACUGAAGUUUAGCAUUUUCUUUCAUUAUAAAUGGAAUCAGUAUAACCCAAUAGUAUGAGCAGUUACUUCUCCGCAACAUCAAAGUGGCUGCAGAUAUCUCAAAAUAGUAUUUACAUUUAUCAUAACUUAGAAAUUUGGGUGGUAAUUAAACCAGCAACUAUUCUUUGUUUAAUGCAUUAAGAAAGAAGUAUGUAUACUAUCAUAUCUCAAUUAAAAAUAUUUUAAGAACUGGA
rnacentral:lncRNA from 1 species